rnacentral:rRNA from 1 species
AUUGAACGCUGGCGGCAGGCCUAACACAUGCAAGUCGAGCGAGCGGCGGACGGGUGAGUAAUGUAUGGGGACUGCCCGAUAGAGGGGGAGAACUACUGGAAACGGUGGCUAAUACCGCAUAAUGUCGGAUAACCCAUAUGGGAUUAGCUAGUAGGUAAGGUAAUGGCUUACCUAGGCGAAGAUCCCUAGCUGGUCUGAGAGGAUGAUCAGCCCAACUGAGAGUGAGGCACGGCCCAGACUCCUACGGAGGAAGAAGUGGUGACUAUUGCACAAUGGGCGCCAGCCUGAUGCAGCCAUGCCGCGUGUAUGAAGAAGGCCCUAGGGUUGUAAAGUACUUUCAGUCGGGAGGCGUUACCGACAGAAGAAGCACCGGCUAACUCCGUGCCAGCAGCCGCGGUAAUUC